rnacentral:tRNA from 1 species
GGCGGAGUAGUUUAACUGGUAAGAACUUCAGGAUCAUAAUCUGGGUAUAUAGGUUCAAAUCCUAUCUCCGUUA